rnacentral:rRNA from 1 species
CAGUAGCCGCGGUAAUACGUAGGGUGCAAGCGUUAAUCGGAAUUACUGGGCGUAAAGCGCACGUAGGCGGUUAUUCAAGUCAGAGGUGAAAGCCCGGGGCUCAACCCCGGAACUGCCUUCGAAACUAGAUGACUGGAAUCUUGGAGAGGUCAGUGGAAUUCCGAGUGUAGAGGUGAAGUUCGUAGAUAUUCGGAAGAACACCAGUGGCGAAGGCGACUGACUGGACAAGUAUUGACGCUGAGGUGCGAAAGCGUGGGGAGCAAACAGGAUUAGAUACCCCGGUAGUCCCUGUCUCUUAUAC